UACGGAGGGUGCGAGCGUUGUCCGGAAUCAUUGGGCGUAAAGGGCUCGUAGGCGGCCAACUAAGUCGGAUGUGAAAUCCCCAGGCUUAACCUGGGAACUGCAUCCGAUACUGGAUGGCUUGAAUCCGGGAGAGGGAUGCAGAAUUCCAGGUGUAGCGGUGAAAUGCGUAGAUAUCUGGAGGAAUACCGGUGGCGAAGGCGGCAUCCUGGACCGGCAUUGACGCUGAGUGAGCGAAAGCCAGGGGAGCAAACGGG
rnacentral:rRNA from 1 species